GGUACGGAAUGUUAAAAUGUGUUAUACAAUGAUGAAUAUUUUUACUCACUGGAAUCAUUUUGUUGGAAAGAUUUUGAGGAGGGUGGUGUUAGGAAUGAUUUGCAAAACGAUUCGUUAUUGAAAAAUGAUGUUAUCUGUUGCGACGCUUCCGUCAUUUUAGAUGUUCCUAGAAUGAUAACAAAAAAAUAAGGUUACAAAGGAUGUAAAUAUUUGAUAUUUCGUGUGGUUACCUGGUAAAUCCGAGGCAAUUUCUUCAUGGUUAAUUGUGGAUAAUGGUUCUUGAGACGAGGAGUAAAUAUUAUGCUGCAGAAGGCACGAUUUUGGGCCACGAGAAUUUAUAAUAUCUGAAAUGAAAACAUUUACAGAACUAGAAAUUCUAAUUAGAGAUUAUUUUACCUUGGCAAAUCGUGUUAUACUUUUUCUCUCUUUCCGGAUAUUCGGAACGUUCAUUGUUGCUGUUUUUCUUAAGCGAUUCACUUUUUAAAAUUAUAUCGGCCUCCACUUCAGCCGACUUAAAAUUACGGAACUUGCGGUUUAUUAUUAUUGGUAUUGAUUUAACAGAUCCAUGAUACUCUGUACCCUAUCGUCUCAUUUUAUUAAUUUUGUUAUUCGGCAGUUUCGUUGGCCACAUUAAUAGUCCAUCUUUAAUCCAGGACGUCGGAACUGUCAGCACUCGAAAUUGCUGAUGUUCGAUCAAAGUAACAACGGUGAACAUUCCUUCUAAUGAAAUAUGCAGCAAAACGAAGUGAACUACGCCAUUGAACGCCAGUCUUUGAUAUAUACGACAUCGAAUUUGACACAUUGCAUCGCACCGCUUUGCAAGGUUGCCAGAUUGAUUUAUUAUAUUUAUUAUAAUAGUAAUCAGAACUUAGUUGGAUAUGAUUGAGAAAACAAAUUGUACAGUGAAAAUUUUCAAUGAUAUUAUAUAUUUGGUGUCUAUGAUAGGGAAAUCAAAGAUCCUCUUAUCUUUGCAACAUAGUUAAAUAAUAAAAUCGGCAACCAGGAAUGACUGAUCCUACUGCAUAAAAUAUAGUCGCGCGAGAUAGCUGGUGCAUGAUAAUCCAGACGACCGGAGUUCGAACCCACAACGGAGCAGUUUUCACCAAACACCAAUCUGUGCCAUUUUAAACAUUCAUAUUCUACUCCCAACAUAAGUCAAUUAAAUAAUUAUUAUAUCUACAAACAUAAAUACUCAUAUAUAAAAAUGGCGAUUCGUGAGACUAUAACAAACAUUUUUCGAAAAUAUUUUGCGCCAUUUGUUUUUUUUUCUAUGUCUGUAAUAAAUCGUAUAUGAGUAUGGCAAAAGUCGUAUUAGGUGCGUUGACAAUUCAUGAAUAUAUUCAUAUUAGAUCGCA